rnacentral:snRNA from 1 species
CCUUUUAAGAUCGGGUUGCGGUUUAA